GAUGAACGCUGGCGGCGUGCCUAAUACAUGCAAGUCGAACGAAACUUCUUUAUCACCGAGUGCUUGCACUCACCGAUAAAGAGUUGAGUGGCGAACGGGUGAGUAACACGUGGGCAACCUGCCCAAAAGAGGGGGAUAACACUUGGAAACAGGUGCUAAUACCGCAUAACCACAGUUACCGCAUGGUAACUAUGUAAAAGGUGGCUAUACUACCGCUUUUGGAUGGGCCCGCGGCGCAUUAGCUAGUUGGUAGGGUAAAGGCUUACCAAGGCAAUGAUGCGUAGCCGAAUUGAGAGGUUGAUCGGCCACAUUGGGACUGAGACACGGCCCAAACUCCUACGGGAGGCAGCAGUAGGGAAUCUUCCACAAUGGGCGAAAGCCUGAUGGAGCAACGCCGCGUGGGUGAAGAAGGUCUUCGGAUCGUAAAACCCUGUUGUUAGAGAAGAAAGUGCGUGAGAGUAACUGUUCACGUUUCGACGGUAUCUAACCAGAAAGCCACGGCUAACUACGUG
rnacentral:rRNA from 1 species